UACGUAGGGGGCUAGCGUUGUCCGGAUUUUAUUGGGGCGUAAAAGAGCGUGUAGGCGGCCAGGUAGGUCUGCUGUGAAAACUCGAGGCUCAACCUCGAGACGUCGGCGGAAACCAUCUGGCUAGAGUCCGGAAGAGGAGAGUGGAACUCCUAGUGUAGAGGUGGAAUUCGUAGAUAUUAGGAAGAACACCAGUGGCGAAGGCGGCUCACUGGUCCGGUACUGACGCUGAGGUGCGAAAGCGUGGGGAGCAAACAGGG
rnacentral:rRNA from 1 species